rnacentral:rRNA from 1 species
AUACGGAGGAUCCGAGCGUUAUCCGGAUUUAUUGGGUUUAAAGGGAGCGUAGGCGGAGAUGCAAGCGUGACGUCAAAUUUCGGGGCUCAACCCCGUCUCGCGUCGCGAACUGCGUCCCUUGGUUGCGGGAAGGGGAGGCGGAACUCGUGGUGUAGCGGUGAAAUGCAUAGAUAUCACGAAGAACUCCGAUCGCGAAGGCAGCCUUCCGGCCCGUCAACGACGCUCAUGCUCGAAGGUGCGGGUAUCAAACAGGAUUAGAUACCCUGGUAGUCCGCACAGUAAACGAUGGACACCCGCGGUUUGGCCUGUAUGGCUGAGCCGCCAAGCGAAAGCGUUAAGUGUCCCACCUGGGGAGUACGCCGGCAACGGUGAAACUUAAAGGAAUUGACGGGG